ACACCACUGAGCUAGCGGCAAGCUAACUCGGUUGGUCUCUGCCAUCCGAGGCCACGUCCUCAGGUCGUCGUCCUCCCGUCCCUUGCUAAGGCGGAGGUCCUGUUUGGAAGGGGAGCUGCUGGAUCACUUAAUGGCAGAAAAAAGUUAGACGGUGCUGUUCUUCCAGGGCAAACAGUGGAAGGGUAAGCAGCGAGGCUGAUGGAUAAUGUAGUCUGAUGUGGAGAAAUAGCAGCGGUAAGAAUAACCUACUGCCACGGGGAGACAGAAGCAACCGGUCGGGGGCUUUCUUGCCUCGGGGACUACAUAUCAGCGGCCUCGGCGGAAAUCAAUCGGCAGCCCUUCAUUAACAAGCUUCAUUAAGGCUGCUCGGUUUAACAUCAUCCACUAGCAGUCCUGUGUAGCCCUCGCUAACUCUUCAUCCUGUUGCCCCACCUCCUCCACCUCUUCCUCCUCUUCUUCUUCUUCUUUCUCACUCAGUUCCUCUCCAAUCACGUCUAGUCGCGUUUCCUGCCCGUUUAGUACCUCCUCCUCUUCGUCAUUGUGAAGCCUGGCCUCCUGCAGCUGCAGCCGCCGCUCCUCCACCAGCAGGAGGCGCUCUCUGACGCCCUCCGCUGCCGCUGCUGUGUCACUGGGACUCCCGAAGUACUGCUCGCUCCUGUAAUCACAAUGAUUUGAGUUAGAACCUGUCUUACCCUCUCGGCGGCGGUGUGGAAGUUCAGAGCCAGCUCCAGUCUCUGUUGUCUCUCUUCGGCGCUGACGCU